CUGGCACCCACAUGUGCUAAGCAUCAACAUGGCUCCCAUAGGGCCACCAACCUAAAUCCCUACUCCAGGUCUGGCACAUUUUCUGUGUCCACAGUUCCCCUGGGGUGCACAGAAUGAGGUCAAUCUCCCUGUUUCUAGAUAAUCAAAAGACAGAUGUCACAAACAGCCAUGUCGGUGGCCGAGAGUGGCAGCUUGGAUGUCAGAGCAGGAAGAAGGGGCUUUGAGUGCAGCUCAGUUAAGUACCGGCUGACCGCAGGGAAGGGCCCAGACCCCGCGGGAGCUACGCUCCACUGUCCCAUUGGACUUCACUUGGAAAACACAAAUGGAAAGACUCAACGACAAGAUGCAGGUGCUCUUUCCGUGUCCCAGGCCCCGCAUGAGGGAAGAAGUUGGGGUGCUGACCCCUCGCCAGCCUUGGCCAGGGUCUGGAGGGAAGAUACCAGCAGAGAGUCAGUCCAGCUGGCGGAGGCUUGGUACUGCUCGGAGGAGACUUGGGGCUCUGGCCACGGGAGACGGCAGCGGUGGCCCCGCGGGACCCGCACCCUCUACUCCUGCCACCAUCGGGCUCCAGCUUUCCGGCCUUGUGGCCAGUCUCUCCCUUUGGGGGGCCUGUGACUCAGCCAAGGGUUCUAUGUGGCAGGAAGUGGGCACAGUGAGUCACGGGGUGGCUCUGUACCCUCUCUCCCUGAGGCGGGAUAGCAGCUGCCCCCCCCAGGGCCGGAGACAGCCCUGAAAGAGGGGGCUCUGCACCCCACGGUAGUAAUUACAGGGAGGCCUGCUUCGGAGGACCCGGGCCCGGAGCCCUGGGCUGGAGGG